rnacentral:pre_miRNA from 2 species
GCAAACGUAGAAACUACCAUUGGAUCGAAAAAUGGACGCCCGAUAUUCGUCCACAUAACAUGAGUUAAAAUUUUACCCGCAAAUUCACUCAUGAGUUAAAAUUUCACUAGGAGUAAAAUUUUAACUCAUGCAGACGUGGACAAAUCUCGGGCAUCCAUUUUUCGAUCCAAUGGUAGUUUCCACGCUUAC